rnacentral:rRNA from 1 species
UCACUUUAGGAUGAGCCCGCGGCGCAUUAGCUAGUUGGUGGGGUAAAGGCCUACCAAGGCAAUGAUGCGUAGCCGAGUUGAGAGACUGAUCGGCCACAUUGGGACUGAGACACGGCCCAAACUCCUACGGGAGGCAGCAGUAGGGAAUCUUCCACAAUGGACGAAAGUCUGAUGGAGCAACGCCGCGUGAGUGAAGAAGGUCUUCGGAUCGUAAAGCUCUGUUGUUGGUGAAGAAGGAUAGAGGCAGUAACUGGUCUUUAUUUGACGGUAAUCAACCAGAAAGUCACGGCUAACUACGUGCCAGCAGCCGCGGUAAUACGUAGGUGGCAAGCGUUGUCCGGAUUUAUUGGGCGUAAAGCGAGCGCAGGCGGAAUGAUAAGUCUGAUGUGAAAGCCCACGGCUCAACCGUGGAACUGCAUCGGAAACCGUCAUUCUUGAGUGCAGAAGAGGAGAGUGGAACUCCAUGUGUAGCGGUGGAAUGCGUAGAUAU